AGAAUCAACGCUGGCGGCGUGCCUAACACAUGCAAGUCGCACGAGAAAGUGGAGCAAUCCAUGAGUAAAGUGGCGCACGGGUGAGUAACACGUGAAUAAUCUACCUCCGAGUGGGGAAUAACUGAGAGAAAUCUUAGCUAAUACCGCAUAACACUUACGAGUCAAAGCAGCAAUGCGCUUGGAGAGGAGUUCGCGGCCGAUUAGUUAGUUGGCGGGGUAAUGGCCCACCAAGACGAUGAUCGGUAUCCGGCCUGAGAGGGCGCACGGACACACUGGAACUGAAACACGGUCCAGACUCCUACGGGAGGCAGCAGUGGGGAAUUUUGCGCAAUGGGGGAAACCCUGACGCAGCAACGCCGCGUGGAGGAUGAAAUCCCUUGGGAUGUAAACUCCUUUCGAUUGGGAAGAUAAUGACGGUACCAAUAGAAGAAGCCCCGGCUAACUUCGCGCCAGCAGCCGC
rnacentral:rRNA from 1 species